UUCUGAUGCAAGCCAGGAUGCAAUUGGCCUCCCAUUUUCUUUUUUCUCUGUUUUCAGGAGAAAUGAAGGUGACUGCAAGGGUCUGACACGUAGGUGCAUGUUCACCCCAAGAAAUUUAGCAGCUGUACAGGGAUGGAUACAGCCAGAAGUGUGAACAGUGGGUGGGAGAGCUCAGCCAGGGGGCCCUGCUCCAUCAGGGCUUCCAGCAUGUGCUAUGUGUUCCCACCUUGGAUUUCCCUGCUGAUGAAGAGACAUAAACCAGUGCUGUGCUUGCAGAUUGGAUUCCUGGACCACGCGCCCUUGCUGGGAAGCAGCACAUUGGUGGGCUGCAGCCAGCCUCUUUUCAGUCACCUUGUGUGCCUUAAUGACAGAAGGAAAAAGAAAGAAGAAAGUUUUGUGGUCUUUUCAGAGCUUCUUCCGUAGUUCUUGUACAACAUCUUCCCCAGCUUAACUGUCAAAUCUCU
rnacentral:lncRNA from 1 species